UAUGGCCACAUCACGUUGAAACUCCGAUUCCCGUUCGAUCACCGAAGUUAAGCAACGUCGAGCCUGGUCAGUACCUAUGUAGGUGACAGCUGGAGAAUACCAGGUGUUGUAAG